rnacentral:rRNA from 1 species
AUUGAACGCUGGCGGCAUGCUUCACACAUGCAAGUCGAGCGGUAACAGGCCUUCGGGUGCUGACGAGUGGCGCACGGGUGAGUAAUGCAUCGGAACGUACCCAGAGGUGGGGGAUAACGCAGCGAAAGCUGUGCUAAUACCGCAUGUGAUCUGAGGAUGAAAGCGGGGGACCGAGCAGCAAUGUUUGGCCUCGCGCCUUUGGAGCGGCCGAUGUCGGAUUAGCUAGUUGGUGGGGUAAAGGCCUACCAAGGCGACGAUCCGUAGCUGGUCUAAGAGGACGACCAGCCACACUGGGACUGAGACACGGCCCAGACUCCUACGGGAGGCAGCAGUGGGGAAUUUUGGACAAUGGGCGCAAGCCUGAUCCAGCAAUGCCGCGUGCGGGAAGAAGGCCUUCGGGUUGUAAACCGCUUUUGGCAGGAACGAAACGGUGUCCGCUAAUACCGGGCGCUAAUGACGGUACCUGCAGAAUAAGCACCGGCUAACUACGUG